UCAGUGAGAGUAAAGAAGAGGGGAGUAUCGUCGCUCUGGUCUGUAAAAAUGAUGGUGUGGUGUUGUGGGAGAAAUGCUCUGAUGGAGGGACAUCUCAGAUCCUCAUAGCAGAAAAUGGAAAAAUCACCAAAGAAUACAAACCUGAUCCAGAGAACAGAUACAGUAUAAUGUCUAAGGAUUUAACACUGAUUAUAAAGAGUGUCUCUGUAUCUGAUUCUGGGAUUUACUACUGUAACAAUAAUCCUGUAUUGAAUCUAACAGUGAUUCCUACAUCAGCACCACCACUAUCAACACCACCCACCGCUGAGCUCUGUAUCAUCUUUACCGUGACGGGCAGUGUCUUUCUACCGCUGACAUUCGUUUCUCUUCUCAUUACAAAGAUUUUUCCAGAUAAAGAGGAAGAGGAUGAGAUGCUCUCUGAAGACGUCUACACUACUGUGGAAUUUCUCCCCUUUGAUAAAUCAUAAACAGGUAGAUAUACUGAGAUAUUAUUCAUAUAUAGUGAUGCAUAUUUAAGCAUACACAUUUGUAAGCAAUGCAUCUACAUGACAUCGCAGCUCAAGAUAUAGAUAUUAUUGUAAAAAUAAAUAAUUGUGUAGUGAUUAUUUUUAUUUUAUUUUAUUGACAAUAGCAUAUUGAGAAUUUCAUUAAUGCUGGCCCAUCUGUACAUGUGGUAAUUUUUUAAGUAUCAUAAACUUGUUUUAAAAUAUAGUGAUAUUAAUAUUUUUACUAUAGUGUGAUUGAGCCCGGAGCAUUAAGCACAGUGUGAGUGCAGACAGGCAGAGGGCGCAAUUGUGCUCAGGCAUGAUUACUGCUAUCUCUGUUUAUGCAGCUGCAAUGAAACAGUGUAUUUGCCCCUUUAUACAUAUAUAAAGGGGCAAAUACACACACA